UUAUACAGCGAAACUGCGAAUGGCUCAUUAAAUCAGUUAUCGUUUAUUUGAUAGUACCUUACUACUUGGAUAACCGUGGUAAUUCUAGAGCUAAUACAUGCUAAAAACCCCGACUCACGAAGGGGUGUAUUUAUUAGAUUAAAAACCAAUGCCCUUCGGGGCUCUUUGGUGAUUCAUAAUAACUUUUCGAAUCGCAUGGCCUUGCGCCGGCGAUGGUUCAUUCAAAUUUCUGCCCUAUCAACUUUCGAUGGCAGGGUCUUGGCCUGCCAUGGUUACAACGGGUAACGGAGGGUUAGGGCUCGACCCCGGAGAAGGAGCCUGAGAAACGGCUACUACAUCCAAGGAAGGCAGCAGGCGCGCAAAUUACCCAAUCCCGAUUCGGGGAGGUAGUGACAAUAAAUACUGAUACAGGGCUCUUUUGGGUCUUGUAAUUGGAAUGAGUACAAUUUAAAUCCCUUAACGAGGAACAAUUGGAGGGCAAGUCUGGUGCCAGCAGCCGCGGUAAUUCCAGCUCCAAUAGCGUAUAUUAAAGUUGUUGCAGUUAAAAAGCUCGUAGUUGAACCUUGGGCCUGGCUGGCCGGUCCGCCUCACCGCGUGCACUGGUUCGGCCGGGCCUUUCCCUCUGGGGAACCUCAUGGUCUUCACUGAUCGUGACGGGGAACCAGGACUUUUACUGUGAAAAAAUUAGAGUGUUCAAAGCAGGCCUAUGCUCGAAUACAUUAGCAUGGAAUAAUAAAAUAGGACGUGUGGUUCUAUUUUGUUGGUUUCUAGGACCGCCGUAAUGAUUAAUAGGGACAGUCGGGGGCAUCAGUAUUCAAUUGUCAGAGGUGAAAUUCUUGGAUUUAUUGAAGACUAACUACUGCGAAAGCAUUUGCCAAGGAUGUUUUCAUUAAUCAGGAACGAAAGUUAGGGGAUCGAAGACGAUCAGAUACCGUCGUAGUCUUAACCAUAAACUAUGCCGACUAGGGAUCGGACGGUGUUACUUAUUGACCCGUUCGGCACCUUACGAGAAAUCAAAGUC
rnacentral:rRNA from 1 species